CCCCCCCCCCCCCCCCCUCUCUAGCUAUGCUACAUAACCCUGCCCUUUUAUCUGCUUCUAGUGAAGACAGUAAGCAUAGUUACAAAAAUAAUCAUAGACUGAUGAAUUAGAAAGUGGACUAAUUCAAAUUUCAAAGCACCUUUGUUCACUGCCUGUUGUGAUCCAAGCAAAAACUCUGCUAUGUGUUCAGUUAUUUUGAUAUACAUUGCCAAAUGCCAAGCACAAUGAUCGAUGUGUUGCCUAGGGACUUUUAAGUUUAGAAGCAAUAAUCAGGUUUAGUGGAGGAUGGAGCAGUUUCCCACCUUGUCCAUUAUAAAGUUUGUAGAAUAAGAGCAGUCAGACAAACAUGGCACUUGAAGAAUUUAAAAAACAGAGGCAUAAUUACAUUAAUUUCUUGGUUUCAUCUUCUUUCGAGCCUGAAUUCACUUGAUCUUUUCCAUGGUUUUGGGACGUUUGAAAUUUUGUUAUUUCUUUUCUGAUUUUCUUUAAAGUGACGGAUAGUUGUCUCCUAUAAUUCUCAUAAAGAUUAGUCCGUCAUCUUCUUUUAUACAAUUGUAAAUAAUAAACACACUUAUGUAAAAAGACUUUCAGCAUAUGCUACUAACCAGAACUCUACUAAAAUAAGAAUAGAAUCAUUCAUACAACCUACCAAAUAGUCAGAACAAUAUCCACUAUGUAUGAUCAAUGGACAAUAAAAAGAAUGGCUAGAGUAAGCAAAAUGAAAUUCAGAAAUCCAUGGGAAAAAGCAAAGAAAUGAAGGAACAAAAAAUGGGAUUUUAAAUUGAUACCUGUAAUUUUGGCCGUAAAGCUUCAAGAGGACCUUUAGGUUUCUCAACACCUUGCUGUCAUUUUUGGGAAAAGAAAAAAAAAUGCAUAUAUACAUGCGGAAUGAUAUUAGGUAACCAUGUAAUGAGAAGUCCCCCAAACUUGUCCAUCUAAAGUAAAUAACAGAUCAGUGCCAAUACCUUUCCAAGUGCCCAAUCGGCAGAAUCAAAGUAAGCUCGUUCAUGGUCCUUAGAAAUGAGUGGUGGUUUCUUGGGCAAGAUUCCUCCAUAUUUUUUCUUCACAACUUCUUCCUCCUCUUUCGAUGAGGGCAUGGAACUUUUAUCCUCGGGGACAUUUCCAUCCACGUGCUCUUGCUCUUUGACACUCUCCACGCCUGACAUUAUGUCCUUCUACAGCAUUUCCAGCCAAAACAAGUAAUUUAAAUUCGUUACCAUAUUAGCACACAAAUAACAAUGAUAAUAAUAAUGGAAGUUUAGCCAAAUUAAUUCCCGCCCAUAAUUUUUUCCCUUCCCUUAUCCCAGAGGAGGAAAUCCAUAAAUGACUUGAUUAAUUAGACCAAAUUUUCUUAAAUUCACUUUCGAGGGCUAAGAUUCUGCUAGAUCUAAAUGAAAAUAAACACCAAAAUUCCUCAAUCCAAACAUGAUAUAUAUAAACAGAAUUAAGUAAAAGAGGGGGAAAAAAAGAUCAAGAUAAUCGAUGGAAAGGAACAGAUUCAAUGAUUGGUAUCGAAUACAGCAUAGCUCCGUACCUCGGAUCAAAGUUCCCAAAGAAAGAAAACAAAAUUUGGAGAGAGAGAGAGAGAGAG
rnacentral:misc_RNA from 1 species